rnacentral:rRNA from 1 species
UACGUAGGGGGCGAGCGUUGUCCGGAAUCAUUGGGCGUAAAGCGCGUGUAGGCGGCCCGGUAAGUCCGCUGUGAAAGUCCAGGGCUCAACCCUGGGAUGCCGGUGGAUACUGUCGGGCUAGAGUCCGGAAGAGGAGUGUGGAAUUCCUGGUGUAGCGGUGAAAUGCGCAGAUAUCAGGAGGAACACCAAUGGCGAAGGCAGCACUCUGGGACGUGACUGACGCUAAGACGCGAAAGCGUGGGGAGCAAACAGG